UGGGGAAUUUUGGACAAUGGGGGAAACCCUGAUCCAGCCAUCCCGCGUGUGCGAUGAAGGCCUUCGGGUUGUAAAGCACUUUUGGCAGGAAAGAAACGUCAUGGGUUAAUACCCCGUGAAACUGACGGUACCUGCAGAAUAAGCACCGGCUAACUACGUGCCAGCAGCCGCGGUAAUACGUAGGGUGCAAGCGUUAAUCGGAAUUACUGGGCGUAAAGCGUGCGCAGGCGGUUCGGAAAGAAAGAUGUGAAAUCCCAGAGCUCAACUUUGGAACUGCAGUUGUAACUACCGGGCUAGAGUGUGUCAGAGGGAGGUGGAAUUCCGCGUGUAGCAGUGAAAUGCGUAGAUAUGCGGAGGAACACCGAUGGCGAAGGCAGCCUCCUGGGAUAACACUGACGCUCAUGCACGAAAGCGUGGGGAGCAAACAGG
rnacentral:rRNA from 1 species